CACGUAGGGGGCGAGCGUUGUCCGGAUUCAUUGGGCGUAAAGCGCGCGCAGGCGGCUCGGAAAGUCGGGUGUGAAAACUCGGGGCUCAACCCCGGGCGUGCAUCCGAUACUGCCGGGCUUGAGGCAGGUAGGGGAGAUCGGAAUUCCUGGUGUAGCGGUGAAAUGCGCAGAUAUCAGGAAGAACACCAAUGGCGAAGGCAGCUCUCUGGGACGGUACUGACGCUGAGACGCGAAAGCGUGGGGAGCGAACAGG
rnacentral:rRNA from 1 species